GCAGUCUGCAACUCGACUGCAUGAAGCUGGAAUCGCUAGUAAUCGCGAAUCAGAAUGUCGCGGUGAAUACGUUCCCGGGUCUUGUACACACCGCCCGUCACACCAUGGGAGUUCGCAAUCGCCCGAAGUCAGUGACCCAACCGAGAGGAGGGAGCUGCCGAAGGCAGGGCGAAUAACUGGGUGAAGUCGUAACAAGGUAGC
rnacentral:rRNA from 1 species